CAGUCGCCGCGGUAACACGAAGGGUGCAAGCGUUAAUCGGAAUUACUGGGCGUAAAGCGUGCGUAGGCGGUUUGUUAAGUCUGCUGUGAAAUCCCCGGGCUCAACCUGGGAAUGGCAGUGGAUACUGGCAAGCUAGAGUGUGUCAGAGGAUGGUGGAAUUCCCGGUGUAGCGGUGAAAUGCGUAGAGAUCGGGAGGAACAUCAGUGGCGAAGGCGGCCAUCUGGGACAACACUGACGCUGAGGCACGAAAGCGUGGGGAGCAAACAGGAUUAGAUACCCGUGUAGUCCCUGUCUCUUAUAA
rnacentral:rRNA from 1 species